GAUGAACGCUGGCGGCGUGCCUAAUACAUGCAAGUCGAGCGAACAGAUGAGGAGCUUGCUCCUCUGACGUUAGCGGCGGACGGGUGAGUAACACGUGGAUAACCUACCUGUAAGACUGGGAUAACUUCGGGAAACCGGAGCUAAUACCGGAUAAUAUAUUGAACCGCAUGGUUCAAUAGUGAAAGACGGUUUUGCUGUCACUUAUAGAUGGAUCCGCGCCGCAUUAGCUAGUUGGUAAGGUAACGGCUUACCAAGGCAACGAUGCGUAGCCGACCUGAGAGGGUGAUCGGCCACACUGGAACUGAGACACGGUCCAGACACCUACGGGAGGCAGCAGUAGGGAAUCUUCCGCAAUGGGCGAAAGCCUGACGGAGCAACGCCGCGUGAGUGAUGAAGGUCUUCGGAUCGUAAAACUCUGUUAUUAGGGAAGAACAAAUGUGUAAGUAACUAUGCACGUCUUGACGGUACCUAAUCAGAAAGCCACGGCUAACUACGUG
rnacentral:rRNA from 1 species